rnacentral:rRNA from 1 species
AUACGUAGGGGGCAAGCGUUGUCCGGAUUUAUUGGGUGUAAAGGGUGCUCAGGCGGAUUCGUAAGUCAGUGGUGAAAUCUCCCGGCUCAACCGGGAAACUGCCUUUGAUACUGCGAGCCUUGAGUUUGGAAGAGGAUGAUGGAAUAUCUGGUGUAGCAGUGAAAUGCGUAGAUAUCAGAUAGAACACCAAUGGCGAAGGCAGUCAUCUGGUCCAUAACUGACGCUAAAGCACGAAAGCGUGGGUAGCAAACAGGAUUAGAUACCCUGGUAGUCCACGCCCUAAACGAUGAAUACUAGACGUUGGGUCCGCAAGGAUUCAGUGUCUGAGCUAACGCGUUAAGUAUUCCACCUGGGAAGUACGAUCGCAAGGUUGAA